AUUGAACGCUGGCGGCAGGCCUAACACAUGCAAGUCGAGCGGCAGCGGGAAAGUAGCUUGCUACUUUUGCCGGCGAGCGGCGGACGGGUGAGUAAUGCCUGGGGAUCUGCCCAGUCGAGGGGGAUAACUACUGGAAACGGUAGCUAAUACCGCAUACGCCCUACGGGGGAAAGCAGGGGACCUUCGGGCCUUGCGCGAUUGGAUGAACCCAGGUGGGAUUAGCUAGUUGGUGAGGUAAUGGCUCACCAAGGCGACGAUCCCUAGCUGGUCUGGGAGGAUGAUCAGCCACACUGGAACUGAGACACGGUCCAGACUCCUACGGGAGGCAGCAGUGGGGAAUAUUGCAAAAUGGGGGAAACCCUGAUGCAGCCAUGCCGCGUGUGUGAAGAAGGCCUUCGGGUUGUAAAGCACUUUCAGCGAGGAGGAAAGGUUGGUAGCUAAUAACUGCCAGCUGUGACGUUACUCGCAGAAGAAGCACCGGCUAACUCCGUGCCAGCCGCCGCAGUAAUAC
rnacentral:rRNA from 1 species